GGACUGGCUUUUAUAAAAGCCAUAAAUUCAGCAUGUAAAUUGACUU
rfam:Ictidomys tridecemlineatus contig121280, whole genome shotgun sequence.